ACGAGAUAUUGUAAAAUGUUAUACAUAUUUGAUUUUAUUUUUUAUUGUUUUAGUUCUUAAAGACAAUGACGAAAACUCGUAUCAUGUACUUCAAACUGUGCCUCCGACAGUUGAGGCGCCCGAUGGUUCUAGUGUUUCACUCACAGAACAAACAGGUUCUAUAAUUGACGGUGAUCCCUACUUUUCCUCUGAUUCUGAAAUUGAUCCAUUGUACCAGCCUGUAAGGAGAGUUUCAGAGACUUUUACCUCUGAAAAUAUAUCUAACAGUUCUGAAGAAGGCAAUGAAGUAAUAUGGAGUAAAUACAUUCAAAAACAUGUCCCCUCUACAAGCAAAUAAGCAGACUCGGACACUUUGACAAGAAAACGUCAAAGAAAUCCACUUGUGGAAACGUAAUAUUCAAAAUACUUUAAGGCUAGCUGGAAAGGAAUAUCUUAAGGCGACGAAUUUUUUGUGAUGAACAUACUUAUUAGAUGUUUGCUCUGUGUCUGGGUGUUAAUUAUCUAAUCAGCCAUCUGGUUUCCAUAACACAAGCGAAAGCUUAGUAUGGGAUCAGAUCGUGCCGUGUGUGAAAAUUGUCCCGAAAUAGUUAAAAAAAAAUUCCAGUGAUUGGUAAAUUUAUCCUAUAGGAGCUAUGUAUGGUAGUGUGGCCGCCACUGCUGGUGUUGUUGUUUUUAAACCAGCUGUAAACUAAAAAUAUUUAAUAACCUUUACCUAAACCGUCUAUAGGCAAAACAGCACAGAUAGCAGCGUGAAUAAAAAUUUUAACCCGGGUCAACGGUGGUGCAUGCUGGAGGAGAAAACGGAUUUAUCCCAGAUGCAGAUUUGUUAUACAAAUGCAAAAGUACUACUGGCGAUUACCAUCAUGAAAUAAAUACCGAGAAUUUUUUGAAAUGGCUUAAUGAAAAGCUGAUACCAAACUUGCCCCCAAAUAGUAUAGUCGUCAUUGACAACGCGCCUUACCACUCAACGCAGUCGGUGAAGGCGCCCACAAGUGCAACGUUAAAAGGAGACAUGCAACAAUGGCUUCGUGACAACAAUAUUCCAUUUGAUGAAAAAAUGAGAAAAAGAGAACUCUACCAUAUUAUAAACGCAAAGCCCCCCAGCAAUAUAUAUUGUCGAUGAUUUAAUGAAGCGACAGUCGACAUGGCCAUGAAAUCGUACGUUUGCCACCCCACCAUUGUGACCUCAACCCCAUUGAAUAUGUCUGGAAUUUGGUCAAACAGAGGGUGGCAUAAAAAAACGUAGACCAACAAGAAAUAAAAAUUGAAAAUCUCACCAGAGAUGCAAUAAUCACAGCAUCAGACUGGAAAAAAGAAGUUAUCUAUGUCGAGACUCGAGAGACUACAACAGGAAUACUGGAAGAUGACGAGAAAAGGUUGACGACGUACUACAGCAACUUGUAAUCUAUCUUGGAGGAGAGGAGUCAUCCGACAGCGAGAUCGAAAGUGAAGAAGAAGACAGUUUAAACCAUUACUAAUAUUGUACCAAUUAAUUAUUUAUAGUGAAGAUGAAUUUUGAAUAAAUAUUUAUCUAU